rnacentral:rRNA from 1 species
AACGAACGCUGGCGGCGUGUCUUAAGCAUGCAAGUCGUGCGGCAAGGGUAGCAAUACCCCUAGAGCGGCGGACUGGUGAGUAACGCGUGGGUGAUCUACCUUUGGGAUGGGGAUAGCCACUAGAAAUAGCGGGUAAUACCGAAUACGUUCGUCGGGCCUUGGCCUGACGAGGAAAGGCGCUUCGGCGCCACCCGAAGAUGAGCCCGCGUCCCAUUAGCUAGUUGGUGAGGUAAAGGCCCACCAAGGCGAUGAUGGGUAGGCGGCCUGAGAGGGUGUACGCCCACAUUGGGACUGAGAUACGGCCCAAACUCCUACGGGAGGCAGCAGCUAAGAAUAUUCCGCAAUGGACGAAAGUCUGACGGAGCGACGCCGCGUGGAUGAUGAAGGCCGAAAGGUUGUAAAGUCCUUUUGUUGGGGAAGAAUAACCAAUGGGAGGUAAUGCCCGUGGGAUGACAUGAACCGACGAAUAAGCCCCGGCUAACUACGUG